UACAGAGGGGGCAAGCGUUGUUCGGAAUUACUGGGCGUAAAGGGCGCGUAGGCGGCCUUCUAAGUCAGACGUGAAAUCCCUCGGCUCAACCCGGGAACUGCGUCCGAUACUGGAAGGCUUGAAUCCGGGAGAGGGAUGCGGAAUUCCAGGUGUAGCGGUGAAAUGCGUAGAUAUCUGGAGGAACACCGGUGGCGAAGGCGGCAUCCUGGACCGACACUGACACUGAGGAGCGAAAGCCAGGGGAGCAAACGGG
rnacentral:rRNA from 1 species